rnacentral:rRNA from 1 species
AUUGAACGCUGGCGGCAGGCCUAACACAUGCAAGUCGAGCGGAGCGGCGGACGGGUGAGUAAUGCCUAGGAAUCUGCCUGGUCGCGGGGGAUGACGUCCGGAAACGGGCGGUAAUACCGCAUACUAUCAGAUGAGCAGAGGUCGGAUUAGCGAGUGGAGGGGGUAAAGGCUUACCAAGGCGACGAUCCGUAACUGGUGUGAGAGGAUGAUCAGUCACACUGGGACUGAGACACGGUCCAGACUCCUACGGGAGGCAGCAGUGGGGAAUAUUGGACAAUGGGGGAAAGCCUGAUCCAGCCAUGCCGCGUGUGUGAAGAAGGUCUUCGGAUUGUAAAGCACUUUAAGUUGGGAGGCGGUACCAACAGAAUAAGCACCGGCUAACUUCGUGCCAGCAGCCGCGGUAAUAC